rnacentral:rRNA from 1 species
GACGAACGCUGGCGGCGUGCUUAACACAUGCAAGUCGAACGGAAAGACCCUGCUCUUGUGGGGUGCUCGAUUGGCGAACGGGUGAGUAACACGUGAGUAACCUGCCCUUGACUUUGGGAUAACUUCAGGAAACUGGGGCUAUUACCCGAUAGGAGCUCCUGCUGCAUGUUGUGGGUUGGAAAGUUUCGGCGGUUGGGGAUAGACUCGCGGCUUAUCGGCUUGUUGGUGGAGUAGUGGCUUACCAAGUGUUAGACGGGUAGCCGGCCUGGGAGGGGGGACGGCCACAUGGGGACUGCGGUACGGAGCAGACGGGUACGGGCGGCAGUAGGGGGGAACAUUGCGCAACGGGCGGAAGCGUGAGACAGAGGCGUCGCGAUCGGGAAAACGGCUUACGAGUUGAGAACAGAUUUCGACUGAAACGAAGCGUUAGUGACGGUAAUGAGUAAGAAAGCAACGGCUAACUACGUG